UACGAGAGGCCCAAACGUUAUUCGGAAUUACUGGGCUUACAGAGUUCGUAGGCGGCUCAGAAAGUUGGGUGUGAAAUCCCUCGGCUCAACCGAGGAAUUGCGCUCAAAACUACUGAGCUUGAGGGGUAUAGAGGUAAGCGGAACUGAUGGUGGAGCGGUGAAAUGCGUUGAUAUCAUCAGGAACACCGGUGGCGAAGGCGGCUUACUGGGUACCUCCUGACGCUGAGGAACGAAAGCUAGGGGAGCGAACGGG
rnacentral:rRNA from 1 species